AGAGUUUGAUCAUGGCUCAGAUUGAACGCUGGCGGCAGGCUUAACACAUGCAAGUCGAGCGGUAACAGAGAGGAGCUUGCUUCUCUGCUGACGAGCGGCGGACGGGUGAGUAAUGCCUGGGAAUCUGCCUGAUAGUGGGGGAUAACUUGCCGAAAGGUAAGCUAAUACCGCGUACGUCCUACGGGAGAAAGCAGGGGAUCUUCGGACCUUGCGCUAUCAGAUGAGCCCAGGCCGGAUUAGCUAGUUGGUGGGGUAAUGGCCCACCAAGGCGACGAUCCGUAGCUGGUCUGAGAGGAUGAUCAGCCACACCGGGACUGAGACACGGCCCGGACUCCUACGGGAGGCAGCAGUGGGGAAUAUUGGACAAUGGGGGGAACCCUGAUCCAGCCAUGCCGCGUGUGUGAAGAAGGUCUUCGGAUUGUAAAGCACUUUAAGUUGGGAGGAAGGGCUUUAGGUUAAUACCCUGAAGUUUUGACGUUACCAACAGAAUAAGCACCGGCUAACUUCGUGCCAGCAGCCGCGGUAAUACGAAGGGUGCAAGCGUUAAUCGGAAUUACUGGGCGUAAAGCGCGCGUAGGUGGUUUGUUAAGUUGGAAGUGAAAGCCCCGGGCUCAACCUGGGAAUUGCUUUCAAAACUGGCGAGCUAGAGUACGGUAGAGGGUAGUGGAAUUUCCUGUGUAGCGGUGAAAUGCGUAGAUAUAGGAAGGAACAUCAGUGGCGAAGGCGACUACCUGGACUGAUACCGACACUGAGGUGCGAAAGCGUGGGGAGCAAACAGGAUUAGAUACCCUGGUAGUCCACGCCGUAAACGAUGUCAACUAGUUGUUGGGGGCCUUGUGUCCUUAGUAACGCAGCUAACGCAUUAAGUUGACCGCCUGGGGAGUACGGCCGCAAGGUUAAAACUUAAAUGAAUUGACGG
rnacentral:rRNA from 1 species